UUCAUAACAUCCGUGCUCCUCAGGGGGUGACAGAUCCAGAGAGCACCCCCUCCAGGCCCUCCCCCGGAAGGCCCUGUUUGGGGGACCACAAGCAUCUUGAGAAAAUGCAGAUUCAUCAGAGCUUCUCGAAGCCCACUGUUUGCAGCGGGGGUAAACAAUGCGGUUUUAGAGCGUUCGUUCCAUCCUCUUGGCCGCGUCGAUGGGAUUCCACAACAUCCAGCAGAAGAGGAGCCAACAUUCCCAAGGAGCAUUUAAAUGAGCUACCUCGUCACCGCAUGGGAACGGCUGAACACUGCACCAAGCCUUCCAUGAGACCUGCUUUCAUCUAGGACCGCAACGUAGGUGCAGCACUAAAAGCCCUCACCAAAGGGCUGUCUUGAAGUGCCUCCAAUUCUAGAAAGAAGUCUCUUUGGGAAUCCUGUUUGCUACCUCAAGCAGUGUAAGCCAAAAUUUCAAAGUCUACCAUUUCUUCACAGGCUGUAUCUGUAUGCGUGAACAGGGACAGAAGAAACCCUAUCCCCACCACAGCAACUCCAAACCAGAGGACGGUCCUCGGGAGCCAAGAAUGUCCAGGUUAUAGGAACAGAAUGAAGCCACUUAAGAAAAUGGUCAAUUAUGGAAUGUUCUGUGCAUAAGUAUGUCCAUUAAUUAAGAAGUGAACUGAAAUUGCUAAUGGAUUUCAUAAUGGCCACCAACCAGCUGCCAGUUGGCUGUAGCUGGGUGACAGAUGGUAGUGACUGAUCUGGACUAGAUCUGACCUAGAGAUAGUCCGUCAUUUAUUAAAUUGCAGGCCCAAAUAAAAUUCCAUGCAUUGCAGCAUUUCA